UGGGGAAUCUUCCGCAAUGGACGAAAGUCUGACGGAGCAACGCCGCGUGAGUGAAGAAGGUUUUCGGAUCGUAAAACUCUGUCUUUUGGGGCGAACGUGAGUAUGGUGAACAAUCAUAGUCAGUGACGGUACCAAAGGAGGAAGCCACGGCUAACUACGUGCCAGCAGCCGCGGUAAUACGUAGGUGGCAAGCGUUGUCCGGAAUUAUUGGGCGUAAAGAGCGCGUAGGCGGGAUAGUCAGUCUGUUGUAAAGUGCGGGGCUCAACCCCGUGAUGGCAAUGGAAACAGCUAUUCUUGAGUGCAGGAGAGGAAAGUGGAAUUCCCAGUGUAGCGGUGAAAUGCGUAGAUAUUGGGAGGAACACCAGUGGCGAAGGCGACUUUCUGGACUGUGUCUGACGCUGAGGCGCGAAAGCCAGGGGGAGCGAACGGGAUUAGAUACCCCGGUAGUCCUGGCCGUAAACGAUGGGUACUAGGUGUGGGAGGUAUCGACCCCUUCCGUGCCGGAGUUAACGCAAUAAGUACCCCGCCUGGGGAGUACGGUCGCAAGACUGAAACUCAAAGGAAUUGACGGGGGUCAUAGCUGUUUCCUG
rnacentral:rRNA from 1 species